UUUAAAUAUGACUCUGAUUUAGGUGGAUGACAAUUACCAUGAUUUUAUAUUCCAGGUGGGAGAUUGCACAUACUCUGAUUCCCUUUCAGGAAGUCAUAGAAGAAGAUUAGGACCCAGCGAGCAGGAAGUCUUUCAUAGAAGAAAGAUUAAGACCCACAGAAUAAGUCAGCCUGUGGUAACCAAGAGGGUCUCCACUUCGUGAGGUUUUGAAUCCAGAAGAAUAAAAUAGAGCCCGGAAGGAGAUCA
rnacentral:lncRNA from 12 species